rnacentral:rRNA from 1 species
CCUACGGGAUGCAGCAGUGAGGAAUAUUGGUCAAUGGGCGGGAGCCUGAACCAGCCAAGCCGCGUGAGGGAAGACGGUACAGCGUAUCGUAAACCUCUUUUGUCAGGGAACAAAGGCGUGGACUAGUCCCCGGAUGAGGGUACCUGAAGAAAAAGCAUCGGCUAACUCCGUGCCAGCAGCCGCGGUAAUACGGAGGAUGCGAGCGUUAUCCGGAUUUGUUGGGUUUAAAGGGUGCGCAGGUGGCCUGUUAAGUCAGCGGUAAAAGCCCGGGGCUAAACCCCGGCGAGCCGUUGAAACUGGGAGGCUGGAGUUCGAGAGAAGUACGCGGAAUGCGCGGUGUAGCGGGGAAAUGCUUAGAUAUCGCGCAGAACCCCGAUUGCGAAGGCAGCGUACCGGCUCCACACUGACGCUGAGGCACGAAAGCGUGGGUAUCGAACAGGAUUAGAUACCCCUGUAGUC